UUCAGUGCUAUGAGUCUUGAUAAAUUGGAGAAGAGCCCAAGAGACAUUUUUCAUCCUGAGAUACAAAAGGGAUCGGUGAAUUUUAAAUUUGGAGUCCUCUAUGCUAAGGAUGGUCAGCUUACAGGUGAUGAAAUGUUCAGUAAUGGGCAGGGAAAGACUCUCGUAUCCUGGUCGUCAGACUCAGCGCUGUCCGAGAAGAUACAGAGACUGUAAAAAUCAUAAGAAGCAAAUAUGACUGCAGAGGAAACAAACUGGAGAGAACAAAAGGUCGUGCUCUGAUGCAUUUACAGAAACCAUGGCAGGAGAGAGUCAGCUGCUGGAGAAGAGGAGACAGUAUUAUCACUGU